UGGGGAAUAUUGGACAAUGGGGGCAACCCUGAUCCAGCCAUGCCGCGUGAGUGAUGAAGGCCUUAGGGUUGUAAAGCUCUUUCACCCGGGACGAUAAUGACGGUACCGGGAGAAGAAGCCCCGGCUAACUUCGUGCCAGCAGCCGCGGUAAUACGAAGGGGGCUAGCGUUGUUCGGAAUCACUGGGCGUAAAGCGCACGUAGGCGGACCGUUAAGUCGGAGGUGAAAUCCUGGGGCUCAACCCCAGAACUGCCUUCGAUACUGGCGGUCUCGAGUCCGGAAGAGGUGAGUGGAACUGCCAGUGUAGAGGUGAAAUUCGUAGAUAUUGGCAAGAACACCAGUGGCGAAGGCGGCUCACUGGUCCGGUACUGACGCUGAGGUGCGAACGCGUGGGGGAGCAAAACAGGAUUAGAUACCCUGGUAGUCCACGCCGUAAACGAUGAAUGCCAGCCGUCGGGCAGCAUGCUGUUCGGUGGCGCAGCUAACGCUUUAAGCAUUCCGCCUGGGGAGUACGGUCGCAAGAUUAAAACUCAAAUGAAUUGACGGGGUCAUAGCUGUUCCU
rnacentral:rRNA from 1 species